AUGACCUUACUUGAACAGGAUCUGUUCUAUAGGCUAAUACCGCUGCAUCCUUUACCAAUAAGGAGGCAAGCACUUCAGUCUGGUUGAUGCACUCUGACAAGUGGGCCAGAGCGUGAUUAACGGCCAGGAAUGCAUCUGAUGGAUGGAUUCGACGGCUGUAGUGUAGAUGAUCGUUCCUGCCAUGGGUGGCCCCAGUGGUUGUCUGACAGACA